rnacentral:rRNA from 1 species
UACGUAGGGGGCAAGCGUUGUCCGGAAUCAUUGGGCGUAAGCGCGUGUAGGCGGCUUGGUAAGUCUGCUCUGAAAGCCCGGGGCUCAACCCCGGGAGGCGGGUGGAUACUGUCAAGCUCGAGUCCGGAAGAGGAGUGUGGAAUUCCUGGUGUAGCGGUGAAAUGCGCAGAUAUCAGGAGGAACACCUAUGGCGAAGGCAGCUCGCUGGGACGUUACUGACGCUGAGACGCGAAAGCGUGGGGAGCAAACAGG